rnacentral:rRNA from 1 species
GACGAACGCUGGCGGCGUGCCUAAUACAUGCAAGUCGAGCGCAGGAAGCUGACGGAACUCUUCGGAGGGAAGGCAGUGGAAUGAGCGGCGGACGGGUGAGUAACACGUAAGGAACCUGCCUCAAGGAUUGGGAUAACUCCGAGAAAUCGGAGCUAAUACCGGAUAGUUCAACGGACCGCAUGGUCCGCUGAUGAAAGGCGCUUCGGCGUCACCUUGAGAUGGCCUUGCGGUGCAUUAGCUAGUUGGUGGGGUAACGGCCCACCAAGGCGACGAUGCAUAGCCGACCUGAGAGGGUGAUCGGCCACACUGGGACUGAGACACGGCCCAGACUCCUACGGGAGGCAGCAGUAGGGAAUCUUCCACAAUGGACGAAAGUCUGAUGGAGCAACGCCGCGUGAGUGAUGAAGGUUUUCGGAUCGUAAAACUCUGUUGUAAGGGAAGAACACGUACGAGAGGGAAUGCUCGUACCUUGACGGUACCUUACGAGAAAGCCACGGCUAACUACGUGCCAGCCGCCGCCGUAACAC